rnacentral:lncRNA from 1 species
GAUCACGUGAACAUGGCCACUGCUCUCUGGGAACUUCCUUCUAUUGUUAAAUGAGGCAGGAGAAAAAGCCAGUCCCACCAGCUGGGAAGCUAGAACACACAGAUUCAACCCUGCUGCCAUAGACUCCCUCGCUGUGUGACCUUGGACAAGUCACUUACCCUCUCUGAUCCCUAGCUGUGACAUCCUCAAAGUGGAGAUUUUUGUAAAUUUUUUUUUUUAAUCUAUUUGGCCAUGCCCAGUCUUAGUUGCCGCACAUGGGAUCUAGUUCCCUGAUCAGGGAUUGAUCCCAGGCCUCCUGUGUUGGGAGUGAGGAGUGUUAGCCAUUGAACCACCAGGGAAGUCCCCUAAAUGGAGAUUUUUCUGCACCCGUGUCUGAGAGGGAUCGUGCUGCCUGUCUGAUCCCUGGAGGGCCCUUCCACUUGGCUCUCUGAUUUCCUGGGCUAAAGAAGACUUUUCAUACUGAGAAGAAAGAGGUGGCCUGGGGGAGUGAGUCUCGGGGAAAACAAACAGCAUAGCUUGUAAGAGGACCCCAAAGUGGGGAAGGUGGCAGAACCGGUCCAACCUUCACCAGCGAUCUGACUAGCAGGGAGAAGUGGCUCGCCCAAGGUCACACGGCACAUUAGCAUCCAUGAAAGGAUUCCCAGCCCGGCACCUUCCCCAGUGCGGCUGCCACCACGGUAAAAAUGUUCAAAGACAUUUAAAAGCUUUACCUUUGGCCCUUAAUUUUUUUUUGUUUUGUUUUGUUUUUAAAAAAUCUUUAUUCCUUUUUCUUUGAAGAGAAUAGCACAUUAGGGUUCUUGGAAACUUUUUUUUUUUUUUGUCCUUUUAAACAAAAAAUAAGCAAACCUCAGUCUAGAAAAGACCCUGAAGACAGAGAUGGCAUCUCAGCUUCCUCCUGUUCCCCGCUCCCCCCAUCCCAGAGACCCGGUGGCUGUCUCCCCGAGUCCCUGGUGGCUGGCACCGUCAUGGAAAAAGGCCCGGCGGGGGGACUUGCCGGACCAGCUGCUGCAUAAACAGCCAGCGACUUCAGACAGACUGGAAAAUCAGGCGCCACUUCAAAGGCUCAAUGACAGGCGGCCCGGCAGUGGGAGCAUGGAGGUGGCCUCCCCUGACGCCCAGCCAUGCAGGGGAGGCUGGACCCGCUGCUGUGUUCUCACCGAGAAGCAGCCAACAGAAGGACAGGCACCUCCUUACCCCACUGGCAACGAAGUUCUUACAAUAUUUGUCAACCCGGCGGGCUCCAGCGGCCGCUUCCUAUUGAUCUACGCCCGUCUGGAGUGAGGGAGACAAUUAGGAGGGAGCACAGCGGCGGCAGCUAAUUACCCACAGAA